UACAGGGGGGGCAAGCGUUGUUCGGAAUUACUGGGCGUAAAGGGCCAGUAGGCGGCCAACUAAGUCACACGUGAAAUCCCCAGGCUUAACCUGGGAACUGCGUGUGAUACUGGAUGGCUUGAAUUCGGGAGAGGGAUGCAGAAUUCCAGGUGUAGCGGUGAAAUGCGUAGAUAUGUGGAGGAAUACCGAUGGCGAAGGCAGCCCCCUGGGAUAACACUGACGCUCAUGCACGAAAGCGUGGGGAGCAAACAGG
rnacentral:rRNA from 1 species